UCGAAUUAAUUAGCGCCGCGAAWUUSCCCUUNCUUAACACAUGCAAGUCGAACGAAGCUCUUUUUHUUCGGACGAAAGUCUUAGUGGCGAACGGGUGCGUAACGCGUUGGUAACCUGCCCCAAAGAGGGGGAUAACAGUUCGAAAGGACUUGCUAAUWCCCCAUACGGUCAUCAGGGUUAGAUACUUGAUGAUUAAAGGAGUAAUCCGCUUUGGGAGGGGCCUGCGUCCCAUCAGCUAGUUGGUAGGGUAAUGGCCUACCAAGGCAAUGACGGGUAGGGGACCUGAGAGGGUGGCCCCCCACACUGGCACUGAAAUACGGGCCAGACACCUACGGGUGGCAGCAGUAGGGAAUAUUGCGCAAUGGGCGAAAGCCUGACGCAGCAACGCCGCGUGGGCGAUGAAGNCCUUCGGGUNGUAAAGCACUUUUUGGAAGGAAKAGGAAGGAAUGUMCUUCCAGAANUAAGUCUCGGCWACUACGUGCCAGCAGCCGCGGUAAUMMAGGGCGAAUUUGUUUAACCUCA
rnacentral:rRNA from 1 species